UCAUAUUUUAGCGUGUUUUCUUUGCUAAUAAUUGUUUCUUGUUUCGCAGGGAAAAUGAAGCUGACCUGCGAUUGACGGAAGGUCACUAUGUCUCAUCUGAAACAAUACCGGACGUAAACUUGGGAAGUGAUAAUCCUUCCUCUCAAGGACACACAGAACAAAGUAGCGUAAACAAACCAGCAGAGAGCAUGUAACUUCUCUUUUAAAUAACCAUUACUUUUGUUCUUUUAUUACCUUCUACUUCUAAUUCUAUAUAUAUUUAGAAAAAAGCCCUUUAUUGUUUUAUUC